rnacentral:rRNA from 1 species
AUUGAACGCUGGCGGAAUGCUUUACACAUGCAAGUCGAACGGCAGCACGGGGGCAGUCCUGGUGGCGAGUGGCGAACGGGUGAGUAAUACAUCGGAAGGUGCCCGGUCGUUGGGGAUAACGUAACGAAGGUAACGCUAAUACAGCAUACGAUAUUAUGAUGAAAGGGGUGGUCCUUCGGUCCUAGCGGGAUCUGCGGUGCCUUUGUCAGAUUAGCUAGUUGGUGGGGUAAAGGCCUACCAAGACGACUUUCUGUAGCUGGUCUGAGAGGACGACCAGCCACACUGGGACUGAGACACGGCCCAGACUCCUACGGGAGGCAGCAGUGGGGAAUUUUGGACAAUGGGCGCAAGCCUGAUCCAGCCAUGCCGCGUGAAGGACGAAGGCCUUCGGGUUGUAAACUGCUGUUGUACGGAACGAAAAGGUUCUGGCUAAUCCCUGGGGCUCAUGACGGUACCGAAAGAAUAAGCACCGGCUAACUACGUG